UACGCUUUCAUUUUCUUGUUUCCCACAGAAACAAAAGAUGUCCGUGUUGCUGGCUGCCGGCAUGGCUGCCGUAUUUGGGGUGGUUGUUGGCAGGAGAUUUUACAAAAGGAAAAGAUUUUAACCCUCAUUCACCCGCACGACCGAAGACUGCGCAUGAAUUCGGAAUGAAUUUCAGAUUCUACAUCUAUGAGCCACGACAGACAAAUUCCUCGCUUUCUUUUCUUUGUUUUUAACAACGUUUGGUCCAAAAAACAGCGAAAGUCUUUGUAAUCGAAAAAAGCAAAAGCCGAACAAAAUCAAAUACUUUUUUUUACAGAAUCAGGAUUAUUUUACAAUAAACAAUAUGUAACUAACAAA